UCAGCAUUACCCUUUGGCUAUCAGCAUUAACCUUUGGCUAUCAGCAUUUUUCUACAAAUUAAUCAAUGUUCUAUAUAAUGGUCUUCGUUUCACAGGAAAUGCCAACUUGUGAUAAUGUUCUGCAUAACAUUGAAUCCACUGCAUCUUCUUUUCAGCUUGAAUCCUUUGUAUCCGAAUAAUGUACAGAGAAAUAAAUCACACUUAACAUGGAUCGGUGAUGGUAAAGCUAUGCAAUGGUAGAAAGAAAUAUCACUUCACUCUUCAGUUUCAUCCAUACGGUAAGCGUAGCCAGUUUAUUUCCCUUAUUAUAGACUCAUUUUGGCUUAUAUGCAACGAUCUAAUCACAAAUCUAAAACCUGAGAGGCCUUACUGAUAGAUCGUAAGAAGCUCAAUCGAAACGUGGAAAUUACAAAUAUCAUAGAAAACUGUUUUUGAGCAGAAAAAAAUUCAUACUAAUUUAGAAGAAAACUCAACAUUGUUCAGUUAUGGUCAUAUGUCAAUGUAUAUAAUCAGUAAGUGAGAGUGGCGUUUUGGCUCCUAGGUGCAUAUGCACACAUGAUUUUUUAUCCACAUCUCUUGAAUGGCACUAAACAAAAUAAAUCAUUUUCUCGAAAACUUUGAGACCAAGAGAUGGGACGCUUAAUAAUUAAUAGAUCAGAAAGGAGUUAAAGAAGACUAACCUCAUGUCAUAUAGACGCAUUCUUUGUGCGAGAAAUCAUAUGGAUCAGAAUUAACACCACAUAGCGAGGAAACUCUCUUGAUGAAUAUAAUACUUAUUGUUUAAUAUUAAGGUGUCUUCGACAGUGGCAACAGCUCGGGGUUGGUGAGCUAUGGCAUCGAGCGAAUACAUGACUCUCCCGGCUAUACUUACAUGUUCAGCAGAACUCAGUGUCAAACAAAUAUAUGUUCAGUUUUCAUGUCAUCAAUGCAUACAUGUAAAUUCGAGAAACAAACUUGUGAAUUAAAUUGAUAAAACGAUGGUUAAUAUAAAACAUAGACAACUGCAGUUGUGAGGUAAUCAGGAAAAGAUGCAAGCAGGUCACAUACCAGGCCAGUGACUGUAGACAACCUCCCAGGCUUCUUGGCAUAUCUGUUUUCCUCACAAGAUCCACAUAAUCACUUCACUGAACCAAGAAAUGGUAUCACUUAUUGAUAGUUAAACAUGAUUUCCUGAUCAUCAGCUCACUUGUUAGGUUAAAAAUAUAUAUAAAGACGGUUAUUAGAUCAGCAUGCCUUGUUUCUUGCAAUAUUGGUGGCAGAUGGAGGCUGAUACUUGUGAUGUGCAGUUAAAUGAUUUAAUCAUUUAAGGGAGAUUUGAUUUGAUGCCUCUGACUGACUAUAUCAGGCAAUGGAUACUGAAUAAUCGCAUCAUACUUUGAGAUAGCAGUAAGGUUAAUACUUUAGGUUAUUUACCAAAUUACAUUACUUGCAAAAUAUUUACCUAUCUACAACAGGAAAUCGUAUAUGUAUCAGUAUUGAUGGAGCUAACAUUAAACGGUAUAAUCUACAUGUC
rnacentral:lncRNA from 1 species